rnacentral:rRNA from 1 species
AUACGUAGGGGACAAGCGUUGUCCGGAAUCACUGGGCGUAAAGGGCGCGCAGGCGGUGAUUUAAGCAGGAUGUGAAAGGCUACGGCUCAACCGUAGACAUGCACCCUGAACUGGGUCACUUGAGUAUUGGAGAGGCAGGCAGAAUUCCUGGUGUAGCGAUGAAAUGCGUAGAUAUCAGGAGGAAUACCGGAGGCGAAGGCGGCCUGCUGGACAAAUACUGACGCUGAGGCGCGAAAGCGUGGGGAGC